UACGUAGGGACCGAGCGUUGUCCGGAUUCAUUGGGCGUAAAGAGCUCGUAGGCGGCCACUCAAGUCGAACGUGAAAACUCGGGGCUCAACCCCGAGCCCGCGUUCGAUACGGGACGGCUAGAGGUAGGUAGGGGAAAGUGGAAUUCCUGGUGUAGCGGUGAAAUGCGUAGAUAUCAGGAGGAACACCGGUGGCGAAGGCGGCUUUCUGGACAGAUACCGACGCUGAGGCACGAAAGCUAGGGGAGCAAACAGG
rnacentral:rRNA from 1 species